rnacentral:rRNA from 1 species
GAUCAUGGCUCAGGAUGAACGCUGGCGGCGUGCCUAACACAUGCAAGUCGAGCGAGAAAUCUUGGAAUGAGACUUCGGUUAAGUGAAGAGAUGGAAAGCGGCGGACGGGUGAGUAACGCGUAGGCAACCUGCCUUAUGCAGAGGGAUAGCCAUUGGAAACGAUGAUUAAAACCUCAUAAAGCCAUUUUAUCACAUGGUGAGAUGGUCAAAGAUUUAUCGGCAUAAGAUGGG